AUUGAACGCUGGCGGCAGGCCUAACACAUGCAAGUCGAGCGGAUGACGGGAGCUUGCUCCUUGAUUCAGCGGCGGACGGGUGAGUAAUGCCUAGGAAUCUGCCUGGUAGUGGGGGGCAACGUUUCGAAAGGAACGCUAAUACCGCAUACGUCCUACGGGAGAAAGCAGGGGACCUUCGGGCCUUGCGCUAUCAGAUGAGCCUAGGUCGGAUUAGCUAGUCGGUGGGGUAAUGGCUCACCAAGGCGACGAUCCGUAACUGGUCUGAGAGGAUGAUCAGUCACACUGGAACUGAGACACGGUCCAGACUCCUACGGGAGGCAGCAGUGGGGAAUAUUGGACAAUGGGCGAAAGCCUGAUCCAGCCAUGCCGCGUGUGUGAAGAAGGUCUUCGGAUUGUAAAGCACUUUAAGUUGGGAGGAAGGGCAGUAAGUUAAUACCUUGCUGUUUUGACGUUACCGACAGAAUAAGCACCGGCUAACUCUGUGCCAGCAGCCGCGGUAAUACAGAGGGUGCAAGCGUUAAUCGGAAUUACUGGGCGUAAAGCGCGCGUAGGUGGUUUGUUAAGUUGGAUGUGAAAGCCCCGGGCUCAACCUGGGAACUGCAUCCAAAACUGGCAAGCUAGAGUACGGUAGAGGGUGGUGGAAUUUCCUGUGUAGCGGUGAAAUGCGUAGAUAUAGGAAGGAACACCAGUGGCGAAGGCGACCACCUGGACUGAUACUGACACUGAGGUGCGAAAGCGUGGGGAGCAAA
rnacentral:rRNA from 1 species